rnacentral:rRNA from 1 species
AUUUAACGCUGGCGGCAGGCCUAACACAUGCAAGUCGAACGAGUGGCGGACGGGUGAGUAAUGUCUGGGAAACUGCCUGAUGCAGGGGGAUAACUACUGGACACGAUAGCUACUCACGAAUAACAUAGGCUGUGACAAGCUGGGAUUAGCUAGUAGGUGGGGUAAAGGCUCAACUAGGCGACGAUCCCUAGAUGUGCUGAGAGGAUGACCAGCCACCCUGGAACUGAUACACGGUCCAGACCCCUACGUGAGGCAGCAGGGGGGAAGAUUGCACAAUGGGCGCAAGCCUGAUGCAGCCAUGCCGCGUGUAUGAAGAAGGCCUUCGGGUUGUAAAGUACUUUCAGCGGGGAGGCGUUACCCGAAGAAGAAGCACCGGCUAACUCCGUGCCAGCAGCCGCGGUAAUUC